rnacentral:rRNA from 1 species
UACGUAGGGGGCAAGCGUUGUCCGGAUUUACUGGGCGUAAAGAGCGUGUAGGCGGCCACGCAGGUCCGUUGUGAAAACUGGAGGCUCAACCUCCAGCUGUCGACGGAAACCGUGUGGCUAGAGUCCGGAAGAGGAGAGUGGAAUUCCUGGUGUAGCGGUGAAAUGCGCAGAUAUCAGGAAGAACACCUAUGGCGAAGGCAGCUCUCUGGGACGGUACUGACGCUGAGACGCGAAAGCGUGGGGAGCGAACAGG